CAGUCGCCACGGUAAUACAGAGGGUGCAAGCGUUAAUCGGAAUUACUGGGCGUAAAGCGCGCGUAGGUGGUUUGUUAAGUUGGAUGUGAAAUCCCCGGGCUCAACCUGGGAACUGCAUCCAAAACUGGCAAGCUAGAGUAUGGUAGAGGGUGGUGGAAUUUCCUGUGUAGCGGUGAAAUGCGUAGAUAUAGGAAGGAACACCAGUGGCGAAGGCGACCACCUGGACUGAUACUGACACUGAGGUGCGAAAGCGUGGGGAGCAAACAGGAUUAGAUACCCUGUAGUCCCUGUCUCUUAUACA
rnacentral:rRNA from 1 species